ACGCACUUGAGCUAGCCCCGAGAUACCGCCUCCAUUUUACCUGCGUGGACGAGAGAGGUGCACCGAGUCGAUCGAGUCAUACGGGUACAGAUCGGAGAAACGAUUCGAAAGGCUUACACCGACGUCCAAGGGAAAAUCAAGGAUCAACGGGGUGUAAACUGGACCGUGAGCAGGAUCCAGGAAGCGGCCACGAAGAGUUGACUUUAACCGUUAGACCACCUUCUUCGAGUUAAACCUCAUUCGUACACAAUCUACGGUUUGUACAAUAAAAAUCAAUCAGGAAUUGGAUGAAGAGGAAAAAAGGA